rnacentral:rRNA from 1 species
CUACGGGCGGCACCAGUGAGGAAUAUUGCACAAUGGAGGAAACUCCGAUGCAGCAACGCCGCGUGGAGGAUGACGCAUUUCGGUGUGUAAACUCCUUUUAUAUGUCAAGAAAAUGACGGUAGCAUAUGAAUAAGCACCGGCUAACUCCGUGCCAGCAGCCGCGGUAAUACGGAGGGUGCAAGCGUUACUCGGAAUCACUGGGCGUAAAGGACGCGUAGGCGGGAUAUCAAGUCAGGUGUGAAAUCCUACAGCUUAACUGUAGAACUGCACUUGAAACUGGUAACCUAGAGUAUGGGAGGGGGAGAUGGAAUUAGUGGUGUAGGGGUAAAAUCCGUAGAUAUCACUAGGAAUACCUAAAGCGAAGGCGAUCUCCUGGAACAUAACUGACGCUAAGGCGUGAAAGCGUGGGGAGCAAACAGGAUUAGAUACCCUAGUAGUC